rnacentral:rRNA from 1 species
UACGUAGGUGGCAAGCGUUGUCCGGAUUUACUGGGCGUAAAGGAUCGCGUAGGCGGACAUUUAAGUCAGAUGUGAAAUACCCGAGCUUAACUUGGGUGCUGCAUUUGAAACUGGGUGUCUAGAGUGCAGGAGAGGUAAGUGGAAUUCCUAGUGUAGCGGUGAAAUGCGUAGAGAUUAGGAAGAACACCAGUGGCGAAGGCGACUUACUGGACUGUAACUGACGCUGAGGCAUGAAAGCGUGGGGAGCAAACAGG